ensembl:lncRNA
GGUGAUGCUUGUAUAUAUGAAUCAAUCAGAGACUACGAUGACAGAGUAAAGGCUGAAUGCAGGGAUUUCACAUAUUCUUUGAUUGAGCUUAAAAACUUCACUAACAAAGGUAAGAAUUCAAGUUAAUUCAGUUCAAUCCAGUUUUAUUUAUAUAGCACUAAAUCACAAUUGACUCAUUGUGCUUUUUAUUGUGAGAUAAAGGCCCUACAGUAAUACAGAGAAAACCACAACAAUCAGAUGAUCUGAAAGCCGAAGGCUCUGCUUUCCAUUCGACUUUUAAAUAUCUGAUGAAUCACAACUUUUGUUGGCCCUAUACCAACUUUUUUGAGAGAUGUUGCUAUUAUCAUUAAACUUUGUACAGAGCCCCAGAUCCUGUGGAAGUGGAUUUGUAACUGUAAAGGUAAGAAUGUCAUCCUAUUUUACCCUGAUGAUCUGUCCAUCCUCUCAUAGAUGACAUCCUGUUGUACGCAGACGCCACCUACAGUGACAAAAGUAAGCAAAGCAAUAAAAUAGGUACCAUAUUUUCUUCUCUUUUACAUUUCAUUUAUACAUCAAGGAAAACUAUAUAAAUGAGUAAAGUUGUCAGUUUGAAGUAAGAUGUUACUAAAAAUCAUUUUGAAAAAUGUUUUUUAUUUGCAG